rnacentral:rRNA from 1 species
AUUGAACGCUGGCGGCAGGCCUAACACAUGCAAGUCGAGCGCGCGGCGGGCGGGUGAGUGAUGUCUGGGGAACUGCCUGAUGGGGGGGGGUAACUACUGGAAACGGUGGAUAAUACCGCGUACGCUAUGAUGUGCGCAGAUGGGAUUAGCUAGUAGGUGGGGUAACGGCUCACCUAGGCGACGAUCCCUAGCUGGUCUGAGAGGAUGACCAGCCACACUGGAACUGAGACACGGUCCAGACUCCUACGGGAGACAGCAGUGGGGAAUAUUGCACAAUGGGCGCAAGCCUGAUGCAGCCAUGCCGCGUGUGUGAAGAAGGCCUUCGGGUUGUAAAGCACUUUCAGCGGGGAGGCGUUACCCGCAGAAGAAGCACCGGCUAACUCCGUGCCAGCAGCCGCGGUAAUAC